rnacentral:SRP_RNA from 1 species
AAAGAUCCCUCGUGUGACGAUAUCUCCUGAACCUCCCCAGGGCCGGAAGGCAGCAAGGAUAGGGUAGCUCUAUCGGGUGCGCGGGGGAUCCUUUAU